CACGGGAGUCCAGGAUCUCCCGGGCCCAGAUCUUCUCAAUGGACAUGAUGGCUGGGAUCUCCUUGGGUGGAAGGGAAGGAAGGAGAAAGCCCUCCCCGGUGCGGUGGAAACACUGCGAGCGGAGCGGGCGAUGCGCGAGAGGAGUGGGAGAGGGGCGCCUAGAGGAAGUCUGCGGAUGCCGAGGAAGGGGGACAAGGGUUCGAGCCCUGGUCCGGGAAGAUCCCACAUGCCGCAGAGCAACUAAGCCCGUGCACCACAACUACUGAGCCCGUGUGCCACAACUACUGAGCCCGCGUGCCACAACUACUGAAGCCCGUGCGCCUAGAGCCUGUGCUCCACAACAAGAGAAGCCACCGCAAUGAGAAGCCUGUGCACCACAAUGAAGAGUAGCCCCCGCUCGCCGCAACUAGAGAAAGCCCGCGCAGCAACGAAGACCCAACACAGCCAAAAAUAAACAAAUAAAUAAAUAAAUUUAUGGGGAAAAAAAAAACAAAUCUGAGCAUGUCUUGUGUUUUAUAGCAGUAUGGGGCCAUCCCUUACAGGUGGGGCUCAGGAGAAGAGAGGCAGGAAACUGGAAGGGGAAUUGGGGCCCAAGAGAUGGAGAAGGGCAGUGGAAACUUCUAUGGGAUGGAGCCAGACUAUGAGUCCCUGAGAACAGGGACUAUCUCUGAUUCCUUCAGAUGGUGCCCGAAACACAGCACAAGGCCUGGCACAUGGUACGUUCUCAAUAUGUGGGUUGAUUGAAUGGGAUUCAGGGGUCUCAGGCUACAAAGGUCUCAGUGCUGUAAUUAGGACUGACGCGGAAGAAAGUAAGGACAGGAGGGGUGAGGAUCAGGACAGAGGAUGAGGUGAGAAUCUGGGGGUGGUCUAGAACUGGGGGAUUGGGACCAGGGAGAAACAUAGGGUCAAAGGUGGCUCC